AACGAACGCUGGCGGCAGGCUUAACACAUGCAAGUCGAACGCAUCCUUCGGGGUGAGUGGCAGACGGGUGAGUAACGCGUGGGAACGUGCCCUUCAGUUCGGGAUAACUCAGGGAAACUUGGGCUAAUACCGGAUACGUGCGAGAGCAGAAAGAUUUAUCGCUGAAGGAUCGGCCCGCGUCUGAUUAGCUAGUUGGUGGGGUAAUGGCCCACCAAGGCGACGAUCAGUAGCUGGUCUGAGAGGAUGAUCAGCCACAUUGGGACUGAGACACGGCCCAAACUCCUACGGGAGGCAGCAGUGGGGAAUAUUGGACAAUGGGCGCAAGCCUGAUCCAGCCAUGCCGCGUGAGUGAUGAAGGCCUUAGGGUUGUAAGGCUCUUUCGUCCGGGACGAUAAUGACGGUACCGGAAGAAGAAGCCCCGGCUAGCUUCGUGCCAGCCGCCGCUGUAA
rnacentral:rRNA from 1 species